rnacentral:rRNA from 1 species
AUUGAACGCUGGCGGCAGGCCUAACACAUGCAAGUCGAGCGAGCGGCGGACGGGUGAGUAAUGUCUGGGAAACUGCCUGAUGGAGGGGGAUAACUACUGGAAACGGUAGCUAAUACCGCAUACCAUCAGAUGUGCCCAGAUGGGAUUAGCUAGUAGGUGGGGUAACGGCUCACCUAGGCGACGAUCCCUAGCGUGUCUGAGAGGAUGACCAGCAACACUGGAACGGAGCCAGGGUCCAGACUCCUACGGGACGCAGCAGGGUGGAAUAUUGCACAAUGGGCGCAAGCCGGAGGCAGCCAUGCCGCGUGUGUGAAGAAGGCCUUCGGGUUGUAAAGCACUUGCAGCGGGGAGGCGUUACCCGCAGAAGAAGCACCGGCUAACUCCGUGCCAGCAGCCGCGGUAAUUC